rnacentral:rRNA from 1 species
AAUCUUCCGCAAUGGACGAAUGUAGGACGGAGCAACCCCGCGUGAGUGAUGAAGGUGUUCGGCUCGUAAAACUCUGUUGUUAGGGAAGAACAAGUAGCGUAGUCACUGCCGGUACCUUGAUGGUACCUGACGAGAAAGCCACGGCUAACUACUUGCCAGCAGCCGAGGUAAUACGUAGGUGGCAAGCGUUGUCCGGAUUUAUUGGGCGUAAAGCGCGGGAAGGCGGUCUUUUAAGUCUGAUGUGAAAUCUUACAGCUUAACUGUAAGCGGUCAUUGGAAACUGGGAGACUUGAGUGCAGAAGAGGAAAGCGGAAUUCCACGUGUAGCGGUGAAAUGCGUAGAGAUGUGGAGGAACACCAGUGGCAAAGGCGGCUUUCUGGUCUGUAACUGACGCUGAGGCGCAAAAGCGUGGGGAGCAAACA